AAACUAACUAGGAUGCCUUCAGUAACGGCGAGCGAAGCAGGCAUAGCUCAAAUUUGUAAUCUGGCGCCUUUGGCGUCCGAGUUGUAUUUUCUAGAAGCGAGUUCGGCGACAGCUCCUACCCAAGUCCGUUGGAACGCGGCGUCAUGGAGGGUGAGAAUCCCGUGAAUGGUAGGAUGUCUGCUGCUAUGUGAACCGCCUUCGAAGAGUCGAGUUGUUUGGGAAUGCAGCUCUAAAUGGGAGGUAAAUUUCUUCUAAAGCUAAAUAUUGGCCAGAGACCGAUAGCGAACAAGUAGAGUGAUCGAAAGAUGAAAAGAACUUUGAAAAGAGAGUUAAACAGUACGUGAAAUUGUUGAAAGGGAAGCGCUUGAGAUCAGACUUCCUGUCUGGACUGUCCUUGCUUUUGCUUGGGUCAACAGUCCAGGCGUGGAGGCCAGCAUCAGUUUUGACGGCCGGAUAAAGGCCUUGGGAAGGUAGCUCCUCUUGGGGAGUGUUAUAGCCCAGGGUGUAAUACGGCCAGUUGGGACUGAGGACCGCGGCUUUGCCUAGGAUGCUGGCGUAAUGGUCUUAAGCGAC
rnacentral:rRNA from 1 species